rnacentral:rRNA from 1 species
GUGGGGAAUUUUGGACAAUGGGCGCAAGCCUGAUCCAGCAAUGCCGCGUGCAGGAAGAAGGCCUUCGGGUUGUAAACUGCUUUUGUACGGAACGAAACGGUCCGGGUUAAUACCCUGGGCUAAUGACGGUACCGUAAGAAUAAGCACCGGCUAACUACGUGCCAGCAGCCGCGGUAAUACGUAGGGUGCAAGCGUUAAUCGGAAUUACUGGGCGUAAAGCGUGCGCAGGCGGUUUUGUAAGACAGGCGUGAAAUCCCCGGGCUCAACCUGGGAAGGGCGCUUGUGACUGCAAAGCUGGAGUGCGGCAGGGGGGGAUGGAAUUCCGCGUGUAGCAGUGAAAUGCGUAGAUAUGCGGAGGAACACCGAUGGCGAAGGCAAUCCCCUGGGCCUGCACUGACGCUCAUGCACGAAAGCGUGGGGAGCAAACAGGAUUAGAAACCCUAGUAGUCC